AGAAGAGUGAACAUAGGGGUACAGACUGACACAGUGUCUGCCUGUGUGUGUUCCUAGCAGGUAUUUCAAUCCCUCAUAAGCAGAGUGUUCGGCAUCUUCAAGGACCUGAGGAGAUGGUCCUGGGAAUUCACUGGUUUACUAAGUGUGACACUGUAUGGAAUUUUUCCAAACCUGAUGUGAUCUCCCAACUGGAACAAGGGAAGAGCCAUGGGUCCCAGACCUCCAGGGUUCAGAGGAAAGAGAGAUCCUGAGAGCUCCCUGCUCAGGAGGUGGUGCAAUGGUAUGUGACAAAGAGGAGCAGAAUUCUCAGCAGGAAGAUGCUGAGCAAGUGGAUAAACACAGAGCAUUAUCACAAAGAUCGGAAAGGAAUGUGUCAGGAGUCAUGAGCAGGGGAAAUCCUGUGAGAUUCAGCACAGACCAGAGAGAGAGCAGGGAAACCAGGCAGGGGAGAAAGUGGGUAAAUUUAUUUCCUGUUGGAGAACUCAGAAGGACCUCAGAGAAACCACAACCCAGCAGGAAAUCCUCAGGAGAAAGAGAAAAAAUACAUGCACUGAGUAUGGGAAAAACUUAUGUGACUACUCAGGUGAGAGACCCUAUGAAUGCAGUGAGUGUGGGAAAACCUCGUCCCUUUUUAAUCAUCAGAGAAUCCACACAGGGGAGAGGCCCUAUGAAUGGUCGUGAGUGUGGGAAAAGCUUCACUAACAGAUCAGCCCUUUCUCAAUAUCAGAAAAUCCACACGGGAGACAAAACCCUAUGAAUGCCGUGAGUGUGGGAAAAACUUCAGUCACAGAUCAGCACUUUUUCAACAUCAGAGUAUCCACACCGGUGAGAGACCCUAUGAAUGCAGUGAGUGUGGGAAAACGUUUUCUUGGCUCUCAGUCCAUGUUAGGCAUCAGAGAAUCUGCAAGGGAGAUCAACACCAUAAAAAACCUCUAGGGCUAUCAAUAGUUUUUUUUCUUUAACACUUUUGCUGAUUCCCACAUAGUAACCUUUAAAGCUGUUUGAACUGUUUGCAGCUCUGUUGUCCCUCAGCUUGUCCAGAUGAGGGGCCCAUUUUGGCCUUUUGCAGUUCGCCCUGUUUCAAGGUGGACCCAUUUGUCCUUCCUAUCUACUCCAUUGUCCCAUGAGUAAUUCGAGUGUGCCCUUCCUAUCGGGAGCCAGGGAGCAUCACAUUUAUACCAUUCCUCCUGUUGUAAAGUUAUUGUUAGUCACCCAUGAUACAGAUUGUAUCAUUGCCAGUUCUUCUCACGUUGCUCUGGGUUGUGCUGAAGAGCAGCUAUACUGGGAACUUUUCAAAUUAUAUUUAAAUGAAGAGGAGCAGGGGCAGGAAAAAAGUGUCAUUUCAGCCUCUGUGACGCUGGGAGGAGACGGGGUGUCUCAGAGAUUCCCUCCUUCCCCAUCACUGCAGAACUGUUACCUCCUGUCUGAGCCAGGCAGAGUUUAUCUUCGUCACAUGCUAUCCCUCCACUUCCCAAAGUGUCAUGUGAUGAAGUGUUCUCAGCUGUCUGUGCUUGGAGAUGAUGCUUUGACUUCUUUAAUCCUAUACCAGAGUCGCUAUGACUGGAGAUGAAAGUGUCAAAGACCUGAAGGGGAAUUCAAAUGGAUCCCAAACACAGUGUGAUCAUCUGGAGUUUAAAUCCCAGGUUCCGUCUAUUGGUAAAGCCGCUUCUGGCAAGGUGGCUGGUUUUUCCCCCCAUUAUGGAGAUCCUAGUAUACUGAAAGAUUUGUAAAUAACAUAACUGACUACUGAGACAGUGCUGAGUGAAGUAUGUUUGAAUGGAUGGAGAGGAGAAUCUCUUGUCCUGAUUCUAAAUAAUCAGAUGUAAAGUGUCAUGUAUUCUGUCUCUCUGUGAUACGGGUUUCUAUCUUUCCUGAAGGCUGUUUGGUCACCCAACUGGAUAUUAAUUCAGUUUGACAGGAUGUAGCCCAGAUUUAUUGGAGACUUUUAAGACAAAUGACCAUUUGCUAAAUUUAUCAUUUCUCACGUUAGCGUUCCUUUUUCCCCAUCCCU